CCCUUAGAUGUUCUGGGCUGCACGCGUGCUACAAUGGCGCUUGCAACAAGAUUGCCAACCCGAAAGGGUGAGCGGAUCUUUGAAGUGGCGUCGUGAUCGGGACAGUUGAUUGCAAUUAUUCGACUCGAACGAGGAAUUCCUUGUAAUCGCGAUUCAUCAUAUCGCGCUGAAUACGUCCCUGCCCUUUGUACACACCGCCCGUCGCUCCUACCGAUUGAGCGAUCCGGUGAAUGUUUUGGACUGGUGUCCGCAAGCGUUUCGCUUCGGACGCUGCGAAAUUUUGUAAACCUUAUCGCUUAGAGGAAGGAAAAGUCGUAACA
rnacentral:rRNA from 1 species